GAUGAACGCUGGCGGCGUGCCUAAUACAUGCAAGUCGAGCGAACGGACGAGAAGCUUGCUUCUCUGAUGUUAGCGGCGGACGGGUGAGUAACACGUGGAUAACCUACCUAUAAGACUGGGAUAACUUCGGGAAACCGGAGCUAAUACCGGAUAAUAUUUUGAACCGCAUGGUUCAAAAGUGAAAGACGGUCCUGCUGUCACUUAUAGAUGGAUCCGCGCUGCAUUAGCUAGUUGGUAAGGUAACGGCUUACCAAGGCAACGAUGCAUAGCCGACCUGAGAGGGUGAUCGGCCACACUGGAACUGAGACACGGUCCAGACUCCUACGGGAGGCAGCAGUAGGGAAUCUUCCGCAACGGGCGAAAGCCUGACGGAGCAACGCCGCGUGAGUGAUGAAGGUCUUCGGAUCGUAAAACUCUGUUAUUAGGGAAGAACAUAUGUGUAAGUAACUGUGCACAUCUUGACGGUACCUAAUCAGAAAGCCACGGCUAACUACGUG
rnacentral:rRNA from 1 species